GUUUAAUGUUCAUGAUUCUCUAAAGCUUGACUGAUAAGAUAGACAUUGGAACCCAAGAUCAUUAAGAGUUCAAAUGAACAGGAGUGAAUGUGGCUUCAUCUGGAAAAUGUUUGGCACCAUGAAGCAUGCUUUCAACAAAGGGGGGAAAGGAAAGCGAUGUUCAAUACUUUUAAGAAUGCUGCAGAUUUCCAUGAAAUAUCAGUCUGAUUAUACGCUUAUGCUUCAUUGGAGGAGAAGACGACUCAUGCUACCUACUUGUUGAGCUAAUUGAGAGCAGCUGUUUGCCAAGGCAGUGUAACAGCUGUAUUGUGAAUGAUGGGAGUCCCUGUGCUCCAGGGAAUACUAGUUGUUUAAGCAGCGGCAAGCUGAGGUAUGAUUGUGUAGUUAAUAGGGGUUUCUUCUCUUUCCUUGUGUUGGAUUUUAUUAGUAAACCUCAGACUAGG
rnacentral:lncRNA from 1 species